GCCUGGGUGGCUCAAUGGGUUGAGCGUCCGACUUCGGCUCAGGUCACGAUCUCGCGGUUCGUGGGUCUGAGCCCCGCAUCAGGCU
rfam:Felis catus isolate Cinnamon breed Abyssinian chromosome C2, whole genome shotgun sequence.